GGAGCAAACAUCGGCUAAAUCCACUAUCCCCAAAAAGAAAAUCUACUCGUGACUACAUAUAGAUUUUAAAAAGAUUUCCUUUACACACUCAUCUAAGUCAGCAGACCAGGGCCUUAGAUUCAAGAGCAAGAGUCAUAUUUCCUUCUGUGAAAGGAAAGUUAAAAGUGUAGUUGCUAUCAUAUGCUGCUUUUAUUUGCUUCAUAUCCCGUCAAUUUCAAAGAUAUUCAAGUAGAAUUUUUUUUUUCACACCCACAUCAAGUUCUCUCUCAGCCUCUGACUUUGAAGGUUCUUGCAUCUUUUGCUCCAUUUUCAUUCGCUCUAAUUCUCAUCACAGCCUUUCUAAAGGUAUCAAUCACUUACAAUCAAGAUUAGAAAGUUAUAGAGGCAGUAGUUUUACUAGAAAACAUCCAAUACACACGCAUACAAGUAAGGAUACAGUAAGGGUAAAAUAAGUGCCAAUUGGGAGUACCAGGAAUGAAAAAAGCAGAGCAGGGCCAG
rnacentral:misc_RNA from 1 species